rnacentral:rRNA from 1 species
UAAUACGAACUGUGCAAACGUUAUUCGGAAUCACUGGGCUUAAAGGGUGCGUAGGCGGUCAUUUAAGUAGGGUGUGAAAGCCCCCGGCUCAACCGGGGAACUGCGUCCUAAACUGGGUGACUGGAGUGAGAUAGAGGUGUGUGGAACUUCCAGUGGAGCGGUGAAAUGUGUUGAUAUUGGAAGGAACGCCGGUGGCGAAAGCGACACACUGGGUCUCAACUGACGCUGAGGCACGAAAGCCAGGGGAGCGAACGGGAUUAGAUACCCCGGUAGUCCUGGCCGUAAACGAUGAGUACUAGUGGGAAGUGGCUUCGCGCUGCUUCCCACGGAGCGAAAGUUUUAAGUACUCCGCCUGGGGAGUAUGGUCGCAAGGCUG